rnacentral:tRNA from 1 species
CAAGGCGUAGCUAAAGUCCUAAAGCAUUCAGCUUACACCUGAAAGAUGCCUUAAUAAACAAGGCCGCCUUGA